GAGGGGUUAGUUAAAUAAUAAUAUUGCCUUGUCGAGGCAGAGUUGCUAGUUGAACCCUUGCACCUCUCC
rnacentral:tRNA from 1 species